AGCUGAACCCGGAGGAUCAGCGUGGAAUGGUAAAAUUACGUUGAAAAAUCGUCUCCCUCAAAAAAUGAAACCUGAGACUAACAGGAGAUUUUUUUGACUGUAAUUUUAUAGUAUACGGAGUUCUUCGCUUCGACGCUGAU
rnacentral:precursor_RNA from 11 species